UCCAACUCUAUAACGACAAUAUUUACUCUCUUUAGUUCUCUGGAAGUGACCUGGAUUUCAAUAACUGUAAUAAGUCAAGAACCAGCCUCCCUUUCUCUCAUCCAGCGUGUCUCUAUCCUAUAAAAGCAGAACUAUCCCUCCACUCUGUACUACAACACCUGUUCACUAUUACCUUCAAGAGCUCCACUGUACCAAGGAAGAACACAGACACAGCGGCAAUGGAUAGAUGUAAACCACACUGUGAGGACAAAAACAAAGGUAGUUCCAUUGGCAACAUAUCAGGAGGUGGAGGCAACAAGGGCAUUGGCAAUGUAUCAGGAGGUGGAGGAAGUAACAUUGGCAACAUAGAUGGGGGUGGAGGCAACACCGGCAUUGGCAACGUUGGAAAAUAAUCUGGAUGCCAUUAGGGCCACUUCACCAAAAGCCUGUCAACAUCCCUGUUCACACUGGGGUGAAGAUUAUGAAAACUAGAUGCAUAUUAAUGGAAUUAGGCUGUUCUUAGUGCUAUCAGAUUCACUCUAGGAGUAUAGUUUUAAUCAACAAUGUAACCACUCUUGCUUUUGGCAAAUAAAUAAAUGUUAACACAUUGA
ensembl:lncRNA